AUGGCAUGUGCGGUGGAGGGCGGGGCGCUGCCCUCGCCUACGGGCGACACGCCCGUUGGCGGCACCACCACCUCCGCGGGCGGUUCGUCCCACGAGGCAACGCUCGCAGGCGGUGUUGCCCUGCCGGGCGGCCGCCCCUGCGGGGGGUUUCGCCCGCGGGAGCAGCGACGGCAGGUGCAGUUGCCCUGCGGCGCCUCACCCCGCGGAGAAGCAGCUGCAGGCGCCUUUGCCCGCAGUGCCGGAGACACGAUUGAUCUGAACAAGCUUUUUCCAUCAGAAUCUAAUGGUACAAAACGGACUGAGAAUGCCUUCCUGCUCAAAGAGCCUAAUCUUUCACAGAACCAGAGCCAUCGCAUGCUCAUUUGGAGCACCAAUGAGUCGACACGCCACAGCACUCUGCAGCACCAUCCCAAAUCAACGCUACCCACGGCGGCCAAGGCCGGGUCGACCUCGGACGAUGAGCCCCUGCACUCACCUGAUCCAGAAGGUGCAGGGAAGAAGGGAACCAUGCUCGGUGCGGUCUCCUGGAUCGUCGGAACCAGCAUCGGUUCUGGAAUACUUGCUCUACUAGAAAAAACUUCUCCUGCGGGAUUCAUUCCAAGUGCGAUAUCCAUAAUCCUGUGAUGGGUGGUCCUGGUGAUCGAAUCCCUUUUGCUAGCCGAAGUAAACAUUGAGUUGAGGAAACAGGGGAUGACUUGGAAGUUGUGUCCCUCAGAACAAUGGCUCAGGAGACACUGGGCGUCUGGGGAGGGAACUUGGCCACUGUCGCCUACCUCUUCUUGCGCUACACUUGUGUGGUGGCCUACACCUCCAAGUCAGGGGAAGUUCUCUCUCACUUGAUCGGCCUCCCUGCUUCCACCUUGCAACCUCUUCACGCUCCUCGUGGCACUGCCCAUACUGGUCGGUGGCAUGACCAUCACAGACCAAGUGAAUCAAUGGCUGACCGUCACAAUGAUAGGUUUACUGGUACUGAUCGAGGCCAUGUCUGUCUCCUUUGGUGGUGGGACGGUCUCAGUAACCUCCUCAGAUUGGGCGAAGGCGCCACAGACCACCUGUUAUCUGUGCAUAUCUCGGAGGCAAUCUAGCACGGGUGAGGUUCUCAAUUCUUUUAGGCAGCACCGUGCCAUUGAUCUCUUUACUGGUGUGGGAAAAGUAUCGCACUUGGAAUCUCCUCCAAUUUGGAUGCCAUUGAUCCCAUGCUAUUGAUUGCUCAUAAGCGUAAGGUGGAGCAGCAUGUUGCCGAUGGUGGAAACAUUCUCAAUUCUAGCAGUCGGGACAUCACUAAUUGGCACUCUCCUUGGCUUCUCUCUGUUCUUCGUAGAACAACUCAGCAGCUUCCAUGCUUCUGUACAAGAAGAACCAAAGAGCAGCGAUGAUGGUACAGGAGAUGCCACAGAAGACUGAAGCAACAAAAUGGUGGGAGAGCAGCAAAGCUGAAUAUUUCGGCAAUUUCCAUAGUGAUUUUUCCGUCUAUUCUCGUUUCAACAGUUGUAUCAGAUGCAUUUUCCAUAGCAACAGGUAUUGCGGUAAACGUUCGAGCAAAACAUGCAAAUCUGAAUCUUUCCAGGUUCUCC